rnacentral:rRNA from 1 species
UUUUAUAAUGUAAAAAUUGAGAUAAGUAUUUACCUAAGUAUUAUGAAUUUUUUUUAUUUAUUUAAAACUUAAAAAGUUUGGCGGUUUUACAUAUCCAUUUAGGGGAGUCUGUUAAUAUAAUUUGAUAAUCCGCAUUUUAAACUAAUUUUUUUUUGAUAUUAUAAUUAUAAAUAUAAUUAUAACAGUUUAUAUAUUGCUGUCGUCAGUUUAUGUUUUAAGAUUAAAAGGACUGUUAAAUAUUAUAUAUUGUUAUGUCAAGUCAUAAUGUAGCUAAUAAAAAAGGUUUGAUGGACUACUUUAAUUAAUGUUAUUUAUUAACCAGAUAAUAAAAAUUAUAUUUUGUUAGUAAGGUGGACUUAAUAGUAAAUUAAUAAUUAGUAUG